rnacentral:lncRNA from 10 species
GUUAGUAUCAAGAGACUCUGAGGGGAACACUGCAAGAACCCUCUCUGCAGUCUGACUGCGAGAGCCGUCAUCCUAUCCAGAAACAUAAAGGUGCAUUUCUUUCUUUCUAGAUCACAAAGAGUUAAUCAUUUUGAACUGGUUGUUGUUUCAGGACUUCAACAGUUCACCAUUUUUUUCUCACUGCUUCCUGUCUGGAGAUUUGUUUUUUUCUUUGCGAGUAGAUAAUUUAAGAAAUAGUUCUCAUUGCCAGAAGGCUGACUCCUUGACAGGAAAGACAUUAAAUUUUAUGCAAAUCUGUGUGUGUGUGCUUUAUCAUGCACUUGGGUUUAUCUUGGCAGUUGACAUCCUAAUGCUCAAAGGGAGUUGUGAGAUGGCUUUCAGAAGCAUGGUCUCUAGGGUUAUGGGACACAUAAAAUCAGUGGGCAGCCUUUCCCACUAUCUUCCCUUUCCCUCAUUCUGUUUUUGACCUGGGCCUCUAGAUUCGAGAUCAUUCCUUAUCUUAUUGCUAAAAUCCUGAUGCUUUGGGUAAUGCGCUUUAAGAAUGUUUUAAACCUCUGCCAACAACUUUAUCCUGACUAUCCAGGCAGGUUCAUUACUGAGGUCCUGGCUAAUGCUGGGAAAACACCAAGCUGAAGAAGACAUGUUUCCUGCCCUCCAGCAAAGAGAUAGAGUCCAAGCAAAUAACUACAACAGAUGUGAACGCGGAAGCACAAAGGAAGAAGCUAAUGCUUCCUGGGAGAGGUGACAUUUCUUCUGGGUUUCGAUACUUCUUCUAGUCCUCUCACAUCUUAAAUCUCCAUUCUCAGUAUUCUCAGUGGAGCAUUUUAUUCUGCUUCUAUGAUUUGGGGCAAAAAGAAGAGAAUCUAUUUGAUAAAGUACUUCUAGAAAGACUGGCAGAAAAGACUCUGAAAGACUUUCUCAGGAGUAAGAAACAACACAACUUUCUUAAUAUUCCUGUGCUGUUUUCACAUGCAAAAAAUACUUUCCCCCUCCUACCUCAUCGGUAGGGCAAUGGACAAAAUGGCUUUUCUUAUAGUAAAUAGCAUGUUCCAUGUAAGACGAGGCCAUGAUCUCCCUUUUUUGCACUUCAAAAUAUUUUAAAAUUGCUGGAUUAUUUUUUCCUCUCCAUUCUUCCUUCUGUGGCUUGACAAUUACUAAAGCUGGUAUGAUUGAUAACACGACUCAAGUUAGAGGAAGUCUUUUUUUUCUUGAGAUGGAGUCUGGCUCUGUCUCCCAGGUUGGAGUGCAGCGACUGCGAACUCGGCUCACUGCAAACUAGAGGAGGCCUUUUUUUUUUUAAAUCAAAGAGCCUCUUUUAAAAUUAUAACCCAUUGGGAAUAUGCUGUGGGGAGGUCUCUCACAGCAGUGUGAAAGAGCACAUUAUCUUUUUUUUUUUUUUUUUGAGACGGAGUCUCGCUCUGUCACCCAGGCUGGAGUGCAGUGACGCGAUCUGGGCUCACUGCAAGCUCUGCCUCCCGGGUUCACGCCAUUCUCCUGCCUCAGCCUCCCAAGUAGCUGGGACUACAGGCGCCCGCCACCACGCCAGGCUAAUUUUUUGUAUUUUUAGUCGAGACGGGGUUUCACCGUGUUAGCCAGGAUGAUCUCGAUCUUCUGACCUCGUGAUCCGCCCGUCUCAGCCUCCCAAAGUGCUGGAAUUACAGGCGUGAGCCACUGCACCCGGCAAGAGCACAUUAUCUUGUAUGUGCCUGUAGCCCAUCUGCAGACAUGAAACCCAAGUCCCUGUUCUCCCAAGUGCAAUGGAAACAUCUCCUCUCCUGCGGAUGAACUGAAUAAGGGAUAGUGAAGCAUAUUUUUAAAUGUUUGCUAUUGCUCGUUAGCCACAGUAGGAAUUUCAAUACCAGUGGCAGUGGGAUCCCUCAUUUUAUUGUAGAUGCCUUUUUUCAUUUCAGCUUACAAAGCUUCCCUCCGUUGGAGGGUGGGGGCCGCAGAAAUAAAAUGGAAGGCAAAGGGGGGAUGCGCUGCGAUUUUUCUGCUCAUUGUCUCAUUUUGAAACUGCCCCAACUGUAUAGAACUUCUAGGAAGCCCGUACAUGUCGGCACAUUCCCGGGGAAGAAUGCUUCUCUUAGGAGCCAGUGCCUUAAGAAGUUUCUUCCGUGUUGCACUGGCAUGCAUGUCUGCUUAAAUCGCCACUCUCCUCAUGACAUUUGGCAGGACUAGGAAGUUCACGUGUCAGUCCCGCUAUUGGCCCACGUGACCCCAUCCCCAAAGACAGGCAGUGAACCCCUGUGUUUUUAUGCCAUAUGAACUGAGAAGUAGACGCAUUCUGUGUAAUGGAUACACACUGAGGCUGCAAUUUUUGAAAAGUCAUUGUUUUGACUUCCCUAUAUUCACAUCGAAUAACGCUUUUAGUCUUUGCCCUCAGUACUCUAGAAGGGGCUAUAUAGCCUGUUUUUGUAUUUGUGGGAAAAAGACUAGAAGCUGGGCAAAAUGCCACCAGGAAGACUAACAUGGCGACGUGAUCCCAAGGGAAACUGAGGUCUCACACUGUCCAGCAACAGAAGGAGGUUGAAUUCUGGAGGAGGUUUAAUUUUUUAAAAACUCAAACUAAUAAAAGAUGUUCACAAAUAUUAAAUAUUUUUAUUUGGACUCUGUGUGUAUUUUAAAUUUUUUAUUAUCAACAUAAAAAAUAUAUGCUGGUAUCUGUUGAGAUCCAGUUAGGAAAAGAGAAACCAUACUGGAUGUUUUAAACAGAGGCGGGUAAAUACAAGGAAUUACUAGCCUGAAAAAAAAAAAGGAUAGCGAACUAACC